AUUUUAUUUUUUUAAUAGAGACAGGGUUUCACCAUGUUGCCCAAGCUGGUCUUGAACUCCUGGAUUCAAGUGAUCUACCUACCUUGGCCUCCCAAAGUGCUGGGAUUACAGACAUAAGCCACCACACCCAGCCAGUGGUUUGAGGUUUGAAUCACAACUCUGUCACAUAUUGUAAUGGACAUCUGGUGUUUUUCCCAGUCCCAGCACCCACUCUUUUCUGGAAGCAGCACCUUUCUUUUUCCUUGGGGAAUUACCCCUUUCCUAGUUUGUGCCAAUAAUCAAGAUUCGUGUCCUCCCCUGAAAAACAGUGUCAUGUGGCCCAAGUGAGGCCAAUCAGAUUCAACCUCACAAAUUCCAGUUGCGAGCCAGGCGAUCAGGAAGAGAUUGGAGCUGAUCAUCCCUCUGGCAUGUUCCUGAAGAAAUGGGCCCACUCAUGCCUGCCAUCUGGAUGCUGGAAAUUACUCUAUUUCUUAUUCUUCCCAUGAUCCAGUUGUUCACCUUUGAUUCUGUUUUAUGUCACCAGGCAGUAGGAUCAUGAUCUGACAAUAAGAUGAAGAGGAACUGGUAAGUUCCUGCAAUAUAAUCUUUCAAAGGUCUGCACUGUUUCAGCACCUCACUGAAACCCUCACGGAGCUUUAUGUCACCCGGUUCCGGGCACACUCCAAAAACGGUUUUAUCUCAUAGAAGCAAGGCUGCUGCCGCUGUGACAUCUGGGUUCCCUGGGGCUCCUGGUCCUAAAUGUAGCUUCUAGGAGACUUAGUUUAGGGGAAGUAAAGAAAAUGAUGUUAACUGUGGAUCACUGGGCCCUCAGGGCAGAUGCCCACCCAUCUGGAUACCGGAGAUAGCACCUGCUCCUAGUUUCAUGGCCGAUUUUGCCUGCGUCUGCUUCACUGGUUGUACCCAUGGGUGGUGACUUCUUCAGAAAGUGAUCUCAUAACCUGUUUGCACAUUGUUUUGGAAGUAAACGUUGCCAGAGAUUAAAGUAUUAAAUGUAAUCUUACUUACCCUUCUAGAGGACAUUGCGGCAAAAAUAUUCUUCCAAAGGGAUGCCUGAUAUUACAGAUGGAUCCAGGUUUUGUAGGGCCUAUGUUUAUGCAAUUUUGUAGAACUUCUUUAAUAAAAAGUAUAUAAAAAGUUGAUUUCAUAGAAGUAAAAAGUAGUAUAGAAGAUACCUGAGGCUGGGAAGGGUAAGAGGAAGGAGGAUGAUGAGAGAUUUUUGAAAGGAUACAAAGUUACAGCUAGAUAGGAGAAACAAGUUCCAGUGUUUUAUUUCACUGUAGGAUGACUAUAAUUAGUAAUAAUAUGUAGUGUCAAAUGGCUAGGAGGAUAUCAAAUGUUCUCAACACAAAAAAUAAUAAACGUUUGAGAUCUGAUCACUAAACAUUACAUGUACAGCACUAUGUACCCCAUAAAUGUGUACAAUCAUUAUACAUCAAUUAAGAAAUAAAAGAAAAAAGAAAAAGUAUUGAUACGGUUUGAUUCUGUGUCCCCAUCUAAAUUUCAUCUUGAACUGUAGUCCCCUUGUGUCAGGGUAGGGACUUCCUGGGAGGUGACUGGAUCAUGGGGGCGGUUUCCCACACGCUGGUCUCAUGAUAGUGAGUGAGUUCUCAUGAGAUCUGGUGGUUUAAAAAUGUUUGGCAGUUGUCGCUUUGCUCUUUUUCUCUCCUGCCACCAUGUAAGACGGCCUCACUUCCCCUUUGCCUUUCACCAUGACUGUAAAUUUCCUGAUGCCUCCCCAGCCACGUGGAACUGUGAGUCAAUUAAACCACUUUCCUUUAUAAAUGACCCAGCCUCAGGCAGUUUUUUAUUGCAGUGUGAAAAUGGACUAAGAUAAGUAUAUAAAAGUCGUUAUAAAAGUAAACAUUUAUUUAGAGUUAGAAAAGAAAUCUCAACAUAUUACAAUUUAAAAAUAUGACAAAUACUACAAACAUCACAAAAUCCAGAAAAACCGUAAUAUUUAUUAUUAACUAACGGCUUGAUUCACCUCUACAAUACUUUCUUACUUACAUAUUUUGGCAGCAUACUUUGAUUUUUCUGUUAACGUGUUGGCUUUAAAAAAUCAUUUUCCAUGAAGAAAAUAGAAAUGUAAUUCAAUCUUAUAGUACGCU
rnacentral:lncRNA from 1 species